AGCGAUUCGUCGACGAAAGGUUCGCGAGAACCGAGAAGAUUAGGCCUCAAUGCAAACGAAGUAUCGGGAUGGUGAGACGGGAAGGGGGCUCUGCGGAGGAAAAUAAACUGCGACCUCGAUUGGUGAAAUAGCGACGAUGCCAGGUCCACAUCUCGCUUAUAAAUGUAGAACGACACGCACGCUUCGUUUUUUUGUUUCUGCGCCUUGGUUGAAUGAUCGGAUCGAACCGGAAGCUUCCCUUCGCAAGCGCAAACCCAUCGUCGUGGGUCGGGCAAUGGGCGAGGUUUCUUGAAUUCUGACAACCGAGGUCGCAGUGCAUCUCGGAGGCAGCUCCCGCGAGAGGUGCAUCCAGGUGCAAUGAGUAUUUCGGAGGAAACACUGUGGAGCCGAGAUUCUCUUUCGAUUUUCCUUAUAAAAUUCCAUUCCGACAUUUGCUUUGCUUUCUCGAUUAUCCAUCAUCGCCGGACGCUUAACGCUUCAACGUUUUCGCAUACUUCAAUCUCCACUUAUAAAUCAAAUGGAUAUAACUCCAGUCGUCAUAUCAUCUGGAAUGGAAUUCUCCUCUGACGAGGCGACUCGACAGGAAAAAUACGUGAUCUGGGAUAUUAUGGAAAAGAUUGUCGUAGAAUAUGAAUUCGAUAGUGAAUACUGAAAUGAGCGAAAAGAAAGUAAGAGAUGAAUUGAGCUUCGGAGAGACCGUGCUAAUUAUUUUGUUGAUGAAUUAUUUCUCGAGUGGUUCUCCUGAACUUUACUGGCACUUGAAAAUAUCGGUAAAUUUAUAUCCGCAGGCUCUAGACAUGGAGAUCUGUAGGAGGAAAAACUUCGUCCGCUUGUCGUUUCACUACUUCUAACUCGAGAACUACUGAACCUUCCAGCAACAGAACUUCGAUUCAAUAAAAUUUUUAUUUAUUUUUUGUUAUACCAAGGAAAAACCGAACACGAGUAUAUCAUUACGGAGAACUCGAUUUUUGCAUUGGAGGAGCUGAAUCGCAAAAGACGGUUUCAAAAAGAUUCGUAAACCCGAACAAUGAACAGACUUCGUUGAAUUUUAUUUUAGAAAUUUCGUUGAAAUUGCAUUUGAGAAAACGCUACUACAAUCACGGGAAUGUUUAUUACGUGGAUUUCUCUGCGUGGAACACUAAAAAAACGAAAAAGCAUUUAUCCAGGAAAAAUAAUUCCAGUGUAAAUAUUUUAUUUCUUCCUAGUUCAUAUAAGCUCAAUUCCCGCGUAUGUUUAUAUAUACGAAAGCCUAUUGAAGAGGAAUUGAUAAAAGACCUCUUUGAUUGCCAGUUGGCUCCUCUUCCGGCCUCCCUUUGUCGCUCUCGGGUUCUCAUCUCUGACGUCGUCGACUUCGCCAUCGAGGUUGUCAUCGUCGUGCGGCGUCUGGCCAUUUCCAUUUAUCUACUUCGCCACGGGGUUCUAAAACCAGCAGCGAAAGCUUUUGCACUCUCUAUUUCUCUCUCUCUCUCUCCCUUUUUCUCCCUUCGGAUUCUCCGAGAGUGAGAUUCUCUCAACCA